CAUGGUUGUCGUCAGCUCGUGUCGUGAGAUGUUCGGGUUAAGUCCCGCAACGAGCGCAACCCUCGACCUUAGUUGCCAGCAUUCAGUUGGGCACUCUAAGGUGACUGCCGGCUAAAAGUCGGAGAAGGUGGGGAUGACGUCAAAUCAUCAUGCCCCUUAUGACCUGGGCUACACACGUGCUACAAUGGGCGGUACAAAGGGUCGCGAACCCGCGAGGGGGAGCCAAUCCCAAAAAGCCGCUCUCAGUUCGGAUUGCAGGCUGCAACUCGCCUGCAUGAAGCCGGAAUCGCUAGUAAUCGCGGAUCAGCGUGCCGCGGUGAAUACGUUCCCGGGCCUU
rnacentral:rRNA from 1 species